rnacentral:rRNA from 1 species
CUCCAAUCAGACAAGAAUACCCGCUGAAUUUAAGCAUAU